rnacentral:misc_RNA from 1 species
AUCGUUGCCCGAUGCCUAUUGCAGUGCAAUAGGAAUUUCUAGGGCGAAUGAUGGCUUCCCGUGAGCGUUGUUGCCUCGCGGUUGGUUGAAAAUCGAGUCCUUGGUAGGGUGUGCCAUGAUAGAUGGUGGUCGAGUUAGCACGAUACCGAUCAUGUGCAUGCCCCCAAAAUAUGGCCUCUAUGACCCACACGCGUCUUUUGACGCUCA